GCCCUGCAAGCAGGCUUUUAUUUACAACUGACCGUCCAGGUGGCAUUGUACUCAACAAAUAUCUGCUCAAUCACUCUAAAUUGGCGGGGGGCUCAAACCCCAGUCCUGGGGGGGGCUGCAGUCUUAGGCUGCGGGUUUUUGGGAUUUUUUUGUGGCUUAAAUCAGGGCCAAGGUUUUAUCUGAAAAGGGCGGGUGUGGGUGCGGGUUUUUGAUUCAACCCAGCUCUAAGACACCGUCACAGUACCAGGUCUGGCUAACGGCAUUGCCCGACCAGCAAGUGCACACGUGCUACCACUAAAGCAGUGGGAACCAACCCCGUUCCUGGAGGGCCACCGUCCCCUAGGUUUUCAUUCCAACCCUAAUGGGGCACAUCUGACUCUACUAAUUGGCAGCUCAAUACAGACCUUUAGCUGUUAAGUGAGAUGUGCUUUGUUAGGACUGGAGUGGAAACCUACAGGACGAUAGAGCUCCAGGAACGGGGAUGGUCACCACUGAGGGAAAGCAUCAAAUUCGGACACAAAGGAAGAACUUGUGUGGAUACGAGGAAUGCACUUCUGCUCUGCCCGUAGGCAACAAUGGAAGUGUGGGUCUGAGUCAUGAUUUCCUGCACAGGGCACAGUUUUCACUUGUUUUACGCAAGGCCAUUUUGUGUUGAUUCAAAAAAAAAAAAAAAAAGAGCUUACAUUUCAUUAAUGAAACUUAAAAAUGGCCAAUUAGAUUUUUAGCGUAUUAAAUAUUUCCGGAAUUGUCUUAAAUGGAAUAAAAUGGUCUGUAAAACCCUGAACAAUG